GAUGAACGCUAGCGGCAGGCUUAAUACAUGCAAGUCGUGGGGCAGCAUGAGUAGCAAUACUUGAUGGCGACCGGCAAACGGGUGAGGAACACGUACACAACCUUCCUUCAAGUGGGGAAUAGCCCAGAGAAAUUUGGAUUAAUACCCCAUAAUAUAUUUGAUAAGGCAUCUUAUUAAUAUUAAAGCUUCGGCACUUGAUGAUGGGUGUGCGGCUGAUUAGAUAGUUGGCGGGUAACGGCCCACCAAGUCUACGAUCAGUAGCUGAUGUGAGAGCAUGAUCAGCCACACGGGCACUGAGACACGGGCCCGACUCCUACGGGAGGCAGCAGUAAGGAAUAUUGGACAAUGGACGAAAGUCUGAUCAGCCAUGCCGCGUGAAGGAUUAAGGUCCUCUGGAUUGUAAACUUCUUUUAUAUGGGACGAAAAAGGGCAUUUCUUGUUCACUUGACGGUACCAUAUGAAUAAGCACCGGCUAACUCCGUGCCAG
rnacentral:rRNA from 1 species